rnacentral:rRNA from 1 species
CGCCUACGGGGGGCAGCAGUGGGGAAUAUUGGUCAAUGGGCUUACGCCUGAACCAGCCAAGUCGCGUGAGGGAAGACUGCCCUAUGGGUUGUAAACCUCUUUUGUCAGGGAGCAACGCCGGCUACGUGUAGCCGGACUGAGAGUACCUGAAGAAAAAGCAUCGGCUAACUACGUGCCAGCAGCCGCGGUAAUACGUAGGGGGCAAGCGUUAUCCGGAUUUACUGGGUGUAAAGGGAGCGUAGACGGUUGUGCAAGUCAGAAGUGAAAGCCCGGGGCUCAACUCCGGGACUGCUUUUGAAACUGUG